AUGACGUCCGUGCGCAGCGCCGCCGGGGUUGCCCUGCCGCCGAUCCGGCUGGCGGUGGAGCGGGCGCGCCAGGAGGCACUCCGGCGCGAGCUGGACGGGUGCCAGCUCCUCGCGGGCAUCUGGUGCCACGGCUUCACGGUGGCGCAGCUCCGCAGCAUCCGCGCCUCGCUCCCCUCCACGGCGCGGCUGCUGGUCGCCAAGAACUCGGACCUCGCGGCGGCGGUCGAGGGCACGCGCUGGGAGUCGCUCCGCCCCUGCGCCCGCGGCAUGAACGCCUGGCUCUUCGUGCGCUCCGACGAGAUCCCGCCGGCGCUCCGCCCCUACCGCGACUUCCAGAAGGAGUGGCGCCUCCAGCUCAACGACUUCACCGGCGCCGUCUACGAGGGCCGCCUCUACGGCCCCGACGACUUCGCGCAGCUCGAGGCCAUGCCCACCAGGGUGCAGUCCUACCAGUACCUCCUCGGGUGCCUCCAGAUGCCCGCCGUCUCCGUCCUCGCCGCCCUCCGCGCGCGCCAGGAGGCCAUGGCGCAGGCCGAGAAGCCGCCCGCCGAGGAGGCGGCUCCUGCUCCGGCGCCGGAGAAGUGA
rnacentral:rRNA from 1 species